AUUGAACGCUGGCGGCAUGCCUUACACAUGCAAGUCGAACGGUAACAGGUUAAGCUGACGAGUGGCGAACGGGUGAGUAAUGUAUCGGAACGUGCCCAGUCGUGGGGGAUAACUGCUCGAAAGAGCAGCUAAUACCGCAUACGACCUGAGGGUGAAAGCGGGGGAUCGCAAGACCUCGCGCGAUUGGAGCGGCCGAUAUCAGAUUAGGUAGUUGGUGGGGUAAAAGCCCACCAAGCCGACGAUCUGUAGCUGGUCUGAGAGGACGACCAGCCACCCUGGGACUGAGACACGGCCCAGACUCCUACGGGAGGCAGCAGUGGGGAAUUUUGGACAAUGGGCGCAAGCCUGAUCCAGCCAUGCCGCGUGCGGGAAGAAGGCCUUCGGGUUGUAAACCGCUUUUGUCAGGGAAGAAAAGGUUCUGGUUAAUACCUGGGACUCAUGACGGUACCUGAAGAAUAAGCACCGGCUAACUACGUGCCAGCCGCCGCCGUAACAC
rnacentral:rRNA from 1 species